GCUUCUUUUUGUAAUGAUUUAUGUUUGAAAAUAGUAGAAGGGUUACAAUUUAUUUUUGCUUUUAACGGCGUUGUCACUGUCCCCAGAAGUCCGUAUUUAAGUGGCAUCAAGCUUUUUAGCUUAACUUGCUCAAGGUGUCAUGUUAGCUUAUGUUAUUUCUUUGCGUCCGCCGUUCGUCUGUAAACUUCUUACAUUUCAUAAUCAAUACUAAUAAACAAUUGAAAAAAAAUUCCAGACUAACAAACUCAAAGAUAAGAGUUUUAAAUAAGGAGAAACAAAUAUAACUAAAAGAUAGUGAGUUGUACAAGUUAUUAUCUUUUUC
rnacentral:lncRNA from 1 species